rnacentral:rRNA from 1 species
AGGAACGCGCUGGGAACGUGCCUUUCGGUUCGGAAUAACUCAGGGAAACUUGAGCUAAUACCGGAUACGCCCUUCGGGGGAAAGAUUUAUUGCCGAAAGAUCGGCCCGCGUCCGAUUAGCUAGUUGGUGAGGUAAAGGCUCACCAAGGCGACGAUCGGUAGCUGGUCUGAGAGGAUGAUCAGCCACACUGGGACUGAGACACGGUCCAGACUCCUACGGGAGGCAGCAGUGGGGAAUAUUGGACAAUGGGCGCAAGCCUGAUCCAGCCAUACCGCGUGGGUGAAGAAGGCCUUCGGGUUGUAAAGCUCUUUCGCCAGGGAAGAAAAUGACGGUACCUGGAUAAGAAGCCCCGGCUAACUUCGUGCCAGCAGCCGCGGUAAUACGAAGGGUGCUAGCGUUGUUCGGAAUUACUGGGCGUAAAGCGCACGUAGGCGGAUCUUUAAGUCAGGGGUGAAAUCCCGAGGCUCAACCUGGGAACUGCAGUGGAUACUGGAGAUCUAGAGUCCGGUAGA